AAUGUAUGCCUCCAAAAAAACACUGGUUCUUUGCAAGGUUUCCCAUGUGUACAUCUAGAAGGAUGACAGAGAUAAUGACUGUGGUCAAGGUGAAGAUGAGACUCCUCCUGUCUGCAGUAAGUCAUCCAUGUCGACCAUCUUAAACAAUUAAUACCAUUUAUUUGGUUAUUAUCAUGUGUUAAUUACAACUUUAAUCAUUCGAUAAAGACCUUUUCAUUUUCAUUUCAUUACAGCCAUUGAUGUAUGCCUCCGAAAAGACCGGUUCUUUGCAAGGUUUCCCAUGUGUACAUCUAGAGGGAUGACAGAGAUAAUGACUGUGGUCAAGACAUUGACAUGUGCCUUCAAAAAGACUGUUUCUUCCACAACGUUUCCGAAGUUUGCAUUUACAGGGAUGACGGAGAUAAUGACUGUGGUAACGGUGAAGAUGAGGCUUCUCCUGCCUGCACCAUGGAUAAUUGCCUUCAAAAGGGCAAGUUUUUUUGCAAUGUUUCCGAGGUGUGCAUCUUCAGGGAUGACGGAGUUUAUUACUAUCGUGCAGAUGAGGUUCCUCCUGCCUGCUGUAAGUCAUCUAGGUCGACCAUCUCAAACAAUUAAUACCAUUAAUCGUAAAUAGCAUUGCAAACAACCAAGCGGUAAUGCGUGUAUUCCUUCUUUUAACAUUCGUUUAUACCAUUAUCAUCUUAUUUCAGUCAGGGAUGAAUGCCUUCAAAAGGGCAGGUUUUUCCGAAACCAGGUGUACAUCUAGAGGGAUGACAGAGAUAAUGACUGUGGUCAAUGUGAAGAUGAGACUCCUCCUGACUGCAGUAAAUCAAUUAUGUCGACCAUCUUAAUCAAUUUAUACCAUUUAUUGUAUAUUAUAAAGCAUUGCAAUUAACCAAAUGAUCAUGCGUUGAUUAAUAUAUUAAUCAUUUGUUAAAGACAUUUUAAUUUCAUCAAGCCAUUGCUGUAUGUCUUCAAAAAGACUGGUUCUUCUGUAACGUUUCCCAUGUGUGCAUCUAGAGGGAUGACAGAGAAAAUGACUCUGGUAAAGGUGAAGAUGAGACUCCUCCUGCCUGCAGUAAGUCAUCCAUGUCGACCAUCUUAAACAAUGAAUCACAUCAAUCAAUCGAACAUUGCGUUGCAAAUUACCAAACUAACAUUCGUUUAUUCCUAUAUUUAACAUUCGAUAAUGCCAUUUUCAUCUCAGUUCAGCCAUGGAUGAAUGGUUUAAGAAGGACAGGUUGUUCUGCAGCGCUUUCCAGGUGUGCAUCUUCAGGGAUGAUGGAGAUAAUGAAUGUGGUCAAGGGGAAGAUGAGACUCCACCUGCCUGCAGUUAGUCAUUCAUGUCGACCAUCUUAAACAAUUAAUACCAUUUAUUGGUUAUUAUCAUGUGUUAAUUACUAUUUCAAUCAUUCGAUAAAGACCUUUUCAUUUUCAUUUCAUUACAGCCAUUGAUGUAUGCCUCCAAAAAACACUGGUUCUUUGCAAGGUUUCCCAUGUGUACAUCUAGAGGGAUGACAGAGAUAAUGACUGUUGUCAAGGUGAAGAUGAGACUCCUCCUGUCUGCACCAUUGAUGUAUGCCUCCAAAAAGACCGGUUCUUUGCAAGGUUUCCCAUGUGUACAUCUAGAGGGAUGACAGGAUAAUGACUGUGGUCAAGGUGAAGAUGAGUCUCCUCCUGCCUGCACCAUUAAUGUAUGCCUCCAAAAACAAUGGUUCUUUGCAAGAGGUUUCCCAUGUGUACAUCUAGAAGGAUGACAGAGAUAAUGACUGUGGUCAAGGUGAAGAUGAGACUCCUCCUGU